GCGAUUCUGGAACCAGAUUUUCACCUGGGUCUCAUUGAGCUGCAGGGACGCAGCAAUCUCCACCCUGCGCGCUCGUGUGAGGGGCCAUAAGGCGCACUGAAGUUCUGCGCGCCGUAGCUUGGACCACAACUCGAGUGGGAAUAAGAAACCCCAAGGUUUCCAGAAGUCUGGACCAGAGAAGAAAAAUGAUAUGAAUGUACAGUGCGCAAGAGGCGGGGCGGGCAGGCGGAGGGCUCGAGGGGAAGGGCACGUGACUCUGUCAGCCAAUAGCUGAGCCGCCUGCGAAAGUUUACCGGCUGCGGCCGUGAUGGAUCACCGUUUCAGUGGCAUUUAAAUCCCCGGCGCUCCUCAGUGUAGGUGACGCGCGCUUGCCCCCCCAGGCAGCCCGGGCCGCGGCGGUAGCUGCGGCCGCUCCCAGAGCUGACUUGGAGCCCUGGGACCAAAGGGAGUCGAGACUGCCUUCUGCGCGCGCCCGGCUCUGCGCGCCUCCACCGCCAGAUGUGGGGGGAUGGGAGGCCCCCUCCGCGGCCCCUUCCCCCACCCAGCCCAGAAAGCUGAACUGGCAAGAGGUCCACGCUUUCCCGAGGAGGCUCAUGCCGAGCUUGGAGCAGUAGGCUUAUGCAGCUCAGAUUCUUUCCCAGCCCCCACCCCGGAGGAAUCAGGAAGGCCACUGAGCAGGGUCUGUUUUUCCUGAACCCAUCCACAGCUGGGAGAUUAAUCAACCACACUGAAAAUGGGGUGGGGGGAGGGAAAGGAAGAGUUGGAAUGUAGAUGUUUGAAACAAAUGUGUAUAAAUAAAUGAAUUUUUGAUAACUCCGUUAUUGACCUAGAGACUAGCAGCUUGGUGAGGGAACUCCACUCCACUUGUCCUAGAACUGGAAGUUUUUGUAGGCACUUUUCCUCUCCACUUUCAAAAGCGUGGGCUAGGGCCAACUCGGGCUGCCCAAGCCCGGUUCUAUUACUAAUGUAACUUUAUGGCUUGAGUCUCAACACUGAAAACCAAAUCCAUUCCCUUAGGGGGGAAAAAAGCCAGAAAAAAAUUUCUUGCCAGAAGGCCUAGCACUUUCUGGUUUUCUUCUUUGUUGCUGUCUGUUGCCGGCUUUGAACAUGCCACCCUAAUAAAAUAUAUUAAGAUUGAAAAA